rnacentral:rRNA from 1 species
AUGCAUGCCCUGAAUAAGAGGAAGCAAUUCUCUCUGAAUCUGCGAACGGCUCCGCAAACCAGUUGUAAACUAUAGCAAGCAAGUCUGGCAGGCUUCGGCUUCCGGGCGAUAUGGAUAACCCUGGUAAUUCUGAGGCUAAUACAUGACCGCAAAACCGGGCAGCCCAGCAAUGGAUGCCCGGGGAUGUGCGAUAUGGCUUGACAAUGACCGGGAAAGGACGCACACUCAGACCGCGUUAUAACGGAUCGGGACUCUCUCCGGAGAACCUGGCCCCAGCGGCUCUUGCUGUGUGCUUCUGACCUAUCAACUAGACGGCAGCGUAAUGGACAUGCUAUGGUGACAACGGGUACAGAGGAUUAGGGUUCGAUCCUGGAGAGUGGGCCUGAGAGAUUGCUCAUACUUCUAAGGAAGGCAGCAGGCGCGCAACGUUCCCCUUGGGCAAUGCCCGAGGGCGUUAGGGGACAUAUGAAUGCCUGCCCAUUGGGUGGGCAAUUCAAAUGGGUCUGUUGUAAAUAGGCUCUCGAGUAACA